CCAAUAGCGUAUAUUAAAGUUGUUGCAGUUAAAAAGCUCGUAGUUGAAUUUCGGGAUCAAUGUUUCGGUCAUGCCGUUGGUAUGUACUGAUAUUAUUGAUUUCUCACCUUCUAAAGAACCGUAAUGCCAUUAAUUUGGUGUCACGGGGAAUUAGGACUGUUACCUUGAAAAAAUUAGAGUGUUUAAAGCAGGCUCACGCUUGAAUACAUUAGCAUGGAAUAAUGAAAUAGGACAUCCGAUUCUAUUUUGUUGGUUUCUAGGAUCGAUGUAAUGAUUAAUA
rnacentral:rRNA from 1 species